UACGUAGGUGGCAAGCGUUGUCCGGAUUUACUGGGCGUAAAGGAUGCGUAGGCGGACAUUUAAGUCAGAUGUGAAAUACCCGAGCUUAACUUGGGUGCUGCAUUUGAAACUGGGUGUCUAGAGUGCAGGAGAGGUAAGUGGAAUUCCUAGUGUAGCGGUGAAAUGCGUAGAGAUUAGGAAGAACACCAGUGCGAAGGCGACUUACUGGACUGUAACUGACGCUG
rnacentral:rRNA from 1 species